rnacentral:rRNA from 1 species
CCUACGGGAGGCUGCAGUGAGGAAUAUUGGUCAAUGGACGAGAGUCUGAACCAGCCAAGUAGCGUGAAGGAUGACUGCCCUAUGGGUUGUAAACUUCUUUUAUAUGGGAAUAAAAUGUUCCACGUGUGGGAUUUUGUAUGUACCAUAUGAAUAAGGAUCGGCUAACUCCGUGCCAGCAGCCGCGGUAAUACGGAGGAUCCGAGCGUUAUCCGGAUUUAUUGGGUUUAAAGGGAGCGUAGGGGGAUUGUUAAGUCAGUUGUGAAAGUUUGCGGCUCAACCGUAAAAUUGCAGUUGAAACUGGCAGUCUUGAGUACAGUAGAGGUGGGCGGAAUUCGUGGUGUAGCGGUGAAAUGCUUAGAUAUCACGAAGAACUCCGAUUGCGAAGGCAGUUCACUGGACUGCAACUGACACUGAGGCUCGAAAGUGUGGGUAUCAAACAGGAUUAGAUACCCGAGUAGUC